rnacentral:rRNA from 1 species
GACGAACGCUGGCGGCGUGCCUAAUACAUGCAAGUCGAGCGAAUCAUUAGGAGCUUGCUCCUUUUGGUUAGCGGCGGACGGGUGAGUAACACGUGGGCAACCUGCCUAUAAGACUGGGAUAACUUCGGGAAACCGGAGCUAAUACCGGAUAAUCCUUUUUCACACAUGUGGGAAAGCUGAAAGACGGUGCACGCUGUCACUUAUAGAUGGGCCCGCGGCGCAUUAGCUAGUUGGUGAGGUAAUGGCUCACCAAGGCGACGAUGCGUAGCCGACCUGAGAGGGUGAUCGGCCACACUGGGACUGAGACACGGCCCAGACUCCUACGGGAGGCAGCAGUAGGGAAUCUUCCGCAAUGGACGAAAGUCUGACGGAGCAACGCCGCGUGAACGAUGAAGGCCUUCGGGUCGUAAAGUUCUGUUGUUAGGGAAGAACAAGUACCGGAGUAACUGCCGGUACCUUGACGGUACCUAACCAGAAAGCCACGGCUAACUACGUGCCAGCCGCCGCUGUAACAC